rnacentral:rRNA from 1 species
UAACCUACCCUUGAAUCUGGAAUAACUCGCCGAAAGGCGGACUAAUACCGGAUACUGUCCUAAGGGCGCAUGCCCUUGGGAUGAAAGGUGACCUCUUCAUGAAAGUUGCCGUUCGGGGAGGGGCUCGCGUACCAUUAGCUUGUUGGUAGGGUAAUGGCCUACCAAGGCGACGAUGGUUAGCUGGUCUGAGAGGAUGAUCAGCCACACUGGAACUGGAACACGGUCCAGACUCCUACGGGAGGCAGCAGUGAGGAAUUUUGCGCAAUAGGGGAAACCCUGACGCAGCAACGCCGCGUGAGUGAAGAAGGCCUUCGGGUCGUAAAGCUCUGUCAAGUGGGAAAAAAUCCAACCGGUGAAUAGCCGGAUUGGACUGAUGGUACCGCUAGAGGAAGCACCGGCUAACUCCGUGCCAGCAGCCGCGGUAA